ACCUCAGUAACGGCGAGUGAAGCGGUAACAGCUCAAAUUUGAAAGCUAGCUCUUUUAGGGUUCGCAUUGUAAUUUGUAGAAGAUGCUUCGGGUGUGGCCCCGGUCUAAGUUCCUUGGAACAGGACGUCAUAGAGGGUGAGAAUCCCGUAUGUGACUGGGUGCUUUCGCUCAUGUGAAGCUCUUUCGACGAGUCGAGUUGUUUGGGAAUGCAGCUCAAAAUGGGUGGUAAAUUUCAUCUAAAGCUAAAUAUUGGCCAGAGACCGAUAGCGCACAAGUAGAGUGAUCGAAAGAUGAAAAGCACUUUGGAAAGAGAGUUAAACAGUACGUGAAAUUGUUGAAAGGGAAGCGCUUGCAACCAGACUUGCGCGCUGAUGAUCAUCCGGGCUUCUGCCCGGUGCACUCGUCUGCGCUCAGGCCAGCAUCGGUUUUGGUGGUGGGAUAAAGGCCUUGGGAAUGUAGCUUCUUUCGGGGAGUGUUAUAGCCCUCGGUGCAAUGCCGCCUACCGGGACCGAGGACCGCGCUUCGGCUAGGAUGCUGGCGUAAUGGUUGUAAGCGACCCGUCUUGAAACACGGACCAAGGAGUCUAACAUCUAUGCGAGUGUUUGGGUGUCAAACCCAUACGCGUAAUGAAAGUGAACGGAGGUGAGAACCCUUAAGGGUGCAUCAUCGACCGAUCCUGAUGUCUUCGGAUGGAUUUGAGUAAGAGCAUAGCUGUUGGGACCCGAAAGAUGGUGAACUAUGCGUGAAUAGGGUGAAGCCAGAGGAAACUCUGGUGGAGGCUCGCAGCGGUUCUGACGUGCAAA
rnacentral:rRNA from 1 species